UAACUGUGGUAACCAAGUUAUAUAUAGGUAACAGUGGCUGGUAACUAGGUAACUGAGGUAACUGUGGUAACCAAGUUAUAUAUAGGUAACAGUGGCUGGUAACU